AUUCUCGCAAAAAGCAGACAUCGUGAUGGUUCUAUAUACAGUGAUGUGGAUUUACUUUGGUGGAAGAAAGAGUACCGUAUUGCCGACCGUAACGAGAGCCGGCUCGAGGCGAUGUCAUUGUCGGAUCCCACGGAUUGUGUCGUCCGUGAUGGAACUUGCAUGACUCAUGAUCCUUUUAGCAUGCUGCAAUUUUACUCGGUGGAGUUGGCUGAAAUUCCCGUGGAUGGUGGCUUAGUAGAGCUGUAUGGGUACAUAGCGGUGCGGGAUGAUAUCGAUUCAUUGCUUAAUUAUGUCAUCAAUAUCAGCAGGGAUGAUCCCAUCGUUGUGGAGGAGGGUUCUCUUAUCAACAUGACUGGCCCUAAGCGAGGGAUAGAUAUGGCGGAUAGUGUUCUAAUUGAACAUGACAUGAGGAUCAAGGCAGGUGAAGAAGAAAAAGAUGACAUACAAUUGAUCGAUGGUGCAUCACUCAUAGCCCACGAAGGCAAAUGGGAUCAGCCAUUCACAUUUCGCAUUCCCGGUGAUGGUGGUGCGGUUGACAUAAUUUUAUCAUGUCUUUUAUAUGCAGUUGAGGCGACUGUAGAGGUUCUUAUCUCGGAAGUGCAAAGCAGUUUCAAUUUGUCUGUCGGAUGUUUAAGCAGUGGGUUUAAUGAGGAAAUCCGGCUCUUUGACGGUGCGGUUGCUGAAUCAUGUAGCUUAAAGAGGUCUGUGGUUGCUGUAUUGAAAAAUUCUUCGAUAGAUUUGAAGUUCAAGGUUGCUGCACUGUCAUCCAGUUCUGACCACCAACAUUGUUGUUCUUUCAAGGCUAAAACCCAUGGGCAUGAUAAUCAAGAAAUAAAGAAUGAUUUUGUGAUAAUCUCGGUGAAGUUGACUUGGUCAACGUUGCCUGGUAGCUUUUCUGGCUAA
rnacentral:rRNA from 1 species